AGAGAAGCGAAACUGCGAAGUGGAGCAAAACUCUAAAAAACAAUCUCAGUUCAGAUUGCAGGCUGCAACUCGCCUGCAUGAAGUCGGAAUUGCUAGUAAUCGUAGGUCAGCAUACUACGGUGAAUACGUUCCCGGGCCUUGUACACACCGCCCGUCAAACCAUGAGAGUUGGCAACACCCGAAGUCCGCUUUGCGGCCUAAGGUGGGGGAGAUGAUUGGGGUUAAGUCGUAACAAGGUACC
rnacentral:rRNA from 1 species